AUGAUAUUCUUCGUUUUUGGUUUCCUUGAUCAGGUUGGCAUGUCCAAUGCCCUGGACACUCUAUGUGGCCAAGCAUUUGGCGCCAGGCAAUAUCACCUCCUUGGCAUAUACAAGCAACGCGCCAUGCUACUACUCACUGUCGUAAGCAUCCCCGUCGCCUUCAUGUGGUUCCACACCGGACAAAUCUUCCUCUUGUUCGGCCAAGACCCUGACAUCGCCAAGGAGGCAGGCACGUACGCCCGGUGGAUGAUCCCGGGUCUCUUCGCCUACGGACUGCUGCAGUGCCACGUCCGGUUCCUGCAGUCACAAAACGUCGUGCUCCCGGUAAUGGUGAGCGCCGGCGCGGCCGCUCUGUUUCAUCUGUUCGUCUGUUGGCUGCUCGUGCACGUUGCCGGGAUGGGCGGAAAGGGUGCGGCUCUUAGCAACGCCAUCUCCUACUGGUUCUACGUGAUCUUACUGGCCGUGUACGUGAGGGUGUCGAGCUCUUGCCAGCAGACGUGGACCGGGUUCUCGAUGGAAGCCUUCCACGGGGCGCAUGACUUUUUCAGGCUCGCCGUGCCGUCUGCUCUCAUGCUCUGCUUGGAAUGGUGGUCGUUCGAAAUUCUUGUGCUGCUUUCGGGUCUUCUUCCAAACCCCAAGCUGGAAACAUCCGUUCUGUCGAUCACACUCAACACAGCUAACUGCCUCUUCAUGAUCCCCUAUGGCCUUGGCGCUGCCACAAGCACCCGUGUCUCGAACGAGCUCGGGGCGGGGCGGCCACGUGCAGCCCGCCUCGCCGUGUGGGUGGUCAUGGUCUUGGCCAUCUCGGAAGGAACUGUCAUGGGGAUGGUCGUGGUCCUCCUGCGCUUCGUCUGGGGCCAUGCGUACAGCGACGAGGCGAAGGUUGUAAGAUACGUUGCCAGGAUGCUACUGGUUAUCUCGGUUGCCAACUUCUUCGACGGAAUUCAGUGUGUUCUAUCGGGUGUGGCAAGAGGCUGUGGGUGGCAGAAGAUCUGUGCCUGUAUCAACCUCGGCGCGUUCUACUUAGUUGGUGUACCGGCAGCCUACCUCGUAGCCUUCAUGCUGCGCGUCGGCGGGAUGGGCCUUUGGAUGGGAAUCAUCUGCGGUAUUCUGGUGCAGGUCUUGGCGCUCGUGACCAUCACGCUAUGCGCCGACUGGGGGGAAGAGGCAACCAAGGCGAAGAACAGAGUCUUUGUGUCUUCUCUUCCAAUGGAUCUCCUCACGACAUGA
rnacentral:rRNA from 1 species